rnacentral:rRNA from 1 species
GAUGAACGCUGGCGGCGUGCCUAAUACAUGCAAGUCGAGCGAACGGACGAGAAGCUUGCUUUUCUGAUGUUAGCGGCGGACGGGGGAGUAACACGUGGAUAACCUACGUAUAAGACUGGGAUAACUUCGGGAAACCGGAGCUAAUACCGGAUAAAAGUUUGAACCGCAGGGUUCAAAAGUGAAAGACGGUCUUGCUGUCACUUAUAGAUGGAUCCGCGCUGCAUUAGCUAGUUGGUAAGGUAACGGCUUACCAAGGCAACGAUGCAUAGCCGACCUGAGAGGGUGACCGGCCACACUGGAACUGGGCCACGGUCCGGACUCCUACGGGGGGCAGCAGUAGGGAAUCUUCCGCAAUGGGCGAAGGCCUGACGGAGCACCGCCGCGUGGUUGAUGAAGGUCUUCGGAUCGUAAAACUCUGUUAUUAGGGAAGAACAUCUGUGUAAGUAACUGUGCACAUCUUGACGGUACCUAAUCAGAAAGCCACGGCUAACUACGUG